rnacentral:rRNA from 1 species
GACGAACGCUGGCGGCGUGCCUAAUACAUGCAAGUAGAACGCUGAAGGAGGAGCUUGCUUCUCUGGAUGAGUUGCGAACGGGUGAGUAACGCGUAGGUAACCUGCCUGGUAGCGGGGGAUAACUAUUGGAAACGAUAGCUAAUACCGCAUAAUAGUAGAUGUUGCAUGACAUUUGCUUAAAAGGUGCAAUUGCAUCACUACCAGAUGGACCUGCGUUGUAUUAGCUAGUUGGUGGGGUAACGGCUCACCAAGGCGACGAUACAUAGCCGACCUGAGAGGGUGAUCGGCCACACUGGGACUGAGACACGGCCCAGACUCCUACGGGAGGCAGCAGUAGGGAAUCUUCGGCAAUGGACGGAAGUCUGACCGAGCAACGCCGCGUGAGUGAAGAAGGGUUUCGGAUCGUAAAGCUCUGUUGUAAGAGAAGAACGAGUGUGAGAGUGGAAAGUUCACAAUGUGACGGUAUCUUACCAGAAAGGGACGGCUAACUACGUG